rnacentral:tRNA from 1 species
GUAGAAAUAGUUUAAUCAAAAUAUUAGAUUGUGAUUCUAAAGAUAGGGAUUAGAAUUCCCUUUUUUACC